rnacentral:rRNA from 1 species
GACGAACGCUGGCGGCGUGCCUAAUACAUGCAAGUAGAACGCUGAAGGAGGAGCUUGCUUCUCUGGAUGAGUUGCGAACGGGUGAGUAACGCGUAGGUAACCUGCCUGGUAGCGGGGGAUAACUAUUGGAAACGAUAGCUAAUACCGCAUAAUAGUAGUUGUUGCAUGACAACUGUUUGAAAGGUGCAAUUGCAUCACUACCAGAUGGACCUGCGUUGUAUUAGCUAGUUGGUGGGGUAACGGCUCACCAAGGCGACGAUACAUAGCCGACCUGAGAGGGUGAUCGGCCACACUGGGACUGAGACACGGCCCAGACUCCUACGGGAGGCAGCAGUAGGGAAUCUUCGGCAAUGGACGGAAGUCUGACCGAGCAACGCCGCGUGAGUGAAGAAGGUUUUCGGAUCGUAAAGCUCUGUUGUAAGAGAAGAACGAGUGUGAGAGUGGAAAGUUCACACUGUGACGGUAUCUUACCAGAAAGGGACGGCUAACUACGUGCCAGCAGCCGCGGUAAUACGUAGGUCCCGAGCGUUGUCCGGAUUUAUUGGGCGUAAAGCGAGCGCAGGCGGUUAGAUAAGUCUGAAGUUAAAGGCUGUGGCUUAACCAUAGUACGCUUUGGAAACUGUUUAACUUGAGUGCAAGAGGGGAGAGUGGAAUUCCAUGUGUAGCGGUGAAAUGCGUAGAUAUAUGGAGGAACACCGGUGGCGAAAGCGGCUCUCUGGCUUGUAACUGACGCUGAGGCUCGAAAGCGUGGGGAGCAAACAGG